AGCUUUGCGCAGUGGCAGUAUCGUAGCCAAUGAGGUUUAUCCGAGGCGCGAUUAUUGCUAAUAGAUGGUUUGCUCAUUAUUCAGUCAGGAUCAUGGCUGGAUGAACAAUUCCCUCGAAAGCUUACCCCCCUUUUCUUAAAAACAAAGU
ensembl:snRNA U4 U4 spliceosomal RNA